UACGUAGGGGGCAAGCGUUGUCCGGAAUCAUUGGGCGUAAAGAGCGCGUAGGCGGCCCGGUAAGUCCGCUGUGAAAGUCAAGGGCUUAACCCUUGAAUGCCGGUGGAAACUGCCGGGCUAGAGUCCGGAAGAGGCGAGUGGAAUUCCUGGUGUAGCGGUGAAAUGCGCAGAUAUCAGGAAGAACACCGAUGGCGAAGGCAGCUCGCUGGGACGGUCCUGACGCUGAGGCGCGAAAGCGUGGGGAGCGAACAGG
rnacentral:rRNA from 1 species